GAUGAAGAACGUAGCGAAAUGCGAUAAGUAAUGUGAAUUGCAGAAUUCAGUGAAUCAUCGAAUCUUUGAACGCACCUUGCACACUUUGGCAUUCCGAAGGGUAUGCUCGUUUGAGUGUCAUUGUACUCUCACUCUCCCGAUGCUUUUGGAUCGGGAGUGGUGGACUUGGGUGUUGCUGCUUUGCUGUGGCUCGCCUCAAAUGGAGUAGUGCAACUCUUGGUUGGACAUAGUACGGCGUGAUAAGUGUCUUCGCCGGCGCCUCAUUAUAGAGGGUGGCCGAUCGGGAGCUCUGUGCUUCAAACCGUCUUCGGACAACAUCUGACAACUUGACCUCAAAUCGAGUAGGACUACCCGCUGAACUUAAGCAUAUCAAUAAGCGGAGGA
rnacentral:misc_RNA from 1 species